rnacentral:lncRNA from 1 species
UUUGCCAAUUCACACACAUAUCAAUAUUGACAAACACAAUACAUCAUUGUGAAUUAAUUACAAAUUUUACAUAUAAAACAUAAUUGGGAAUAUUCAAAUGUAUCAUACAAACCAUACAUUUACCAUCUACAAACCUUCACCGUGUAUUUGUUAAACCCGUCAUACAACAAAAAAUGAAAUACACUUGGGGAAAUAAAGUUACAACAUGAGAAAGACAUACAAUUCAAACAAUGAAGAUGUAGAUUUCAGUUGAUUCCUACUUCAAAUCAUCAAGUAAAUCUGUAGACGUCGAAAGAAACCAUCAAAUUCAAAACCAACAAAUAUAAGGAUGUUAGACUUAUUAAGCUUUUCAGCUUAUUGGCUACAAUUACAUAUAAAAGUAAAAAGUAAGAAGUAAUAAGUGUUAUCUUGUAAUUCAUGUUGAUUUCAUGGAUUGUAAGGUAAUACUUUGUGUAGAUUGUUUAGUCUUAUAAAGCCAAAGCAUAAGCAUCCAACAAAGGGUUGUACCUUAUGCAUAUUAGUAAUUAAGUAUGUAAAACCUUGUAGAAAUGCCAUGUGUUUCCAUACAUUACUCCAAUGUAAAACAUUGACAUCAUCAAAUUUAGUAUAAAUCAAGAUGUAUGAUGAAAACAAAUAGUAUGCAAGCCAUAUAAGUUUGUACUUAAAACCCAAUUAAUAUUUUAAUAAAGUCUUACCAUGUUUGUUAUUUUAAAAAAAAAAUCAUAGUUUAAUUGAAAAAUUGUUAACUUUAUACACAAAAGGUGAGAGCUUUCAGCCAAGAAGUGUAAAAGCCACCAAAGUUUGAGACACGACCAAACCUUACUAUAAGAUUGAUUGUAUGAACAGAUUAUACAUACUCCCCUGAGAUGUUGGUAACAUUAUAACCAACCAGUAAUAAUUGCAAUUUAAAUAAAGAAUGGUGCUAAAUGUGAUCCUAUAAUUUAUUCAAAAACUUAAGAAGCACAGAAAUAUCAAAUAGUGUAAGGCUCCAUAACACCUUCAAUAAAAUUAGGAUUUUGAUUAAUCUUGAACACUUUGCAAGAAAUUUUAUACAGGUAUGAGUUGUAUCUGUACAAACAUUGAACCCCAGCCCAAAUAAAGAAUAUUAGACUUGAUAUAGAAGGUAGAUUGGUAAAAAUGCAUCUCGUUCUCACCUCCUUUUCACAUGAAGAAUCCAAUAAGUACAAAAUCCAAUUUUUUUAAAGAGAUGCAACAUAUAAGAGCUGUGAGAAAGAAUGAAGCUACUUACUUUAAGAAAAUUAUGUUUACAUGUGUGUUUGUGUGUUAAUGUAUACUAAUUUAAAAUAAAAAUACUUAUAUGAGCGACAAAUAAGCAGAGAAAGAGAAUAAGGGGAAGAUAAACCUGACAAUUCGUUAAACCACUAUUAGUUUGCCUUUAUCCAGCAACCGCCAAAACCCUAGAAAUAAAUAUUAAUGCACAAUCAUGCUAAGAUAAACAUGAAUUACAAGAAACUUAUUAACACAUAAAAAUUAUAAUGUAUUUGUAGAAAAUGAACUUUUCUCGUAUCUAAAAGAGGUUACUGCUGGUGGGAUGUUCGGUGGUGGUGAGUAGUGGCCUUAGGGUUUCAAGCCGUCGGGAUCUUUUAAUUUUCCAGAUCAACACUAUCAACAACACAAAUCUAUUUUCCUGGCUAUAGAAUGAAAACUUGUAGGCGUGUGUGUGUUGUUGAAGGCAAAAAGAGAUGUUGAUGAUGAGACCCAAAGACAGAGGGGGUUUACAAAGUUUUUUUGAAGUGGGGUGAUUGGAGAACAUUGAGGGGUCUGAAGGUGGUCGGUGUCGUGUAACUGAUCGUGGUAUUGGUCUACCAUGGUAAGUAGUAAAGGUUAUAGUGGUGGUAAAGGUUGUCGGUAACGUAUGAGAGAAGGAGGAGGGCUAUGGAUUUUUUUUGAGAUACCGAUUUUCG